CCUUUGUCAGGUGUGUGUACCUUUGUCAGGUGUGUGUACCUUUGUCAGGUGUGUGUACCUUUGUCAGGUGUGUGUACCUUUGUCAGGUGUGUGUACCUUUGUCAGGUGUGUAUACCUUUGUCAGGUGUGUAUACCUUUGUCAGGUGUGUAUACCUUUGUCAGGUGUGUGUACCUUUGUCAGGUGUGUGUACCUUUGUCAGGUGUGUGUACCUUUGUCAGGUGUGUAUACC